rnacentral:rRNA from 1 species
CAGCAGCCACGGGAACACGUAGGGUGCAAGCGUUAAUCGGAAUUACUGGGCGUAAAGCGUGCGCAGGCGGUUAUAUAAGACAGAUGUGAAAUCCCCGGGCUCAACCUGGGAACUGCAUUUGUGACUGUAUAGCUAGAGUACGUCAGAGGGGGAUGGAAUUCCGCGUGUAGCAGUGAAAUGCGUAGAUAUGCGGAGGAACACCGAUGGCGAAGGCAAUCCCCUGGGCCUGUACUGACGCUCAUGCACGAAAGCGUGGGGAGCAAACAGGAUUAGAUACCCCGGUAGUCCCUGUCUCUUAUCC